rnacentral:rRNA from 1 species
AUACGGAGGGUGCAAGCGUUGUCCGGAUUUAUUGGGUUUAAAGGGUGCGCAGGCGGACCUGUCAGUCAGUGGUGAAAUCCCGGGGCUCAACCCCGGAACUGCCAUUGAUACUACAGGUCUUGAAUACGCUUGAAGUAGGCGGAAUGUAGCAUGUAGCGGUGAAAUGCAUAGAUAUGCUACAGAACACCGAUCGCGAAGGCAGCUUACUAAGCCGAUAUUGACGCUCAGGCACGAAAGCGUGGGGAGCGAACAGAAUUAGAUACCCCAGUAGUCC